rnacentral:rRNA from 1 species
UACGAAGGGGGCUAGCGUUGUUCGGAAUUACUGGGCGUAAAGCGUGCGCAGGCGGCUUCUCAAGUCAGGGGUGAAAGCCCAGAGCUCAACUCUGGAAUUGCCUUUGAGACUGAGUGGCUUGAGUACGAGAGAGGUGAGUGGAAUUCCCAGUGUAGAGGUGAAAUUCGUAGAUAUUGGGAAGAACACCGGUGGCGAAGGCGGCUCACUGGCUCGUAACUGACACUGAGGCGCGACAGCGUGGGGAGCAAACAGG